CUGCCACAGUGCGCUAGGUGGGAUUCCUCUCGGGGAAGAGGAGGGAAGGGAAAAGGAGAAACCGGCGCGCACUUUCCCUUCCAAUGAUCCCAAUCUCGCCGCGCACUGGAAAAGCCUCUUCUCCCCCCAGACCCCGCCAGGCAAGACCGGGUACGGUAAUUUGGGCUUUCCGCAGGGCACUGGGGAAGCACUCUGCGGGCGGCCCCGCUCAGCCCCCGCGCUUCCCUGCGCUGCCCCGGAGGCUGCGGGAGCCGCGGUGCCCCCGCCUCCGCUCCGCGCUCCGGAGGAUGGAUGCUCCGGGGAUGGAUGCUCCGGGGGAUGCGGCGGAGCGGGCGUUUGGCGCAUCGCUGCCCGGAGGGGAUGGGAUGGGACCGGGUGGGCUGGGCUGGGGGUCACUCACCUCGCUGCAAGGUGACCCGCGGCGCGGUGCUCCCGGAGGGGCGGCUCAGCGCCCCGGCGCUCCGCCCGGCAGCAUCCCCGCGGCGGGGGCGGCGGCGGGCACCGGGCCCGGGGGAUGCACAGCGCCCGCCGAGAAGGGGCUGCGCCGCCUGCACCGCCUCGGCGGCACUGUGCGCUCGGCAGGAGGAGGAGGAAAAGGAGGAGGGAGGGAGGGAGAGGGAGAGAGAGGCAGGAGGAGGGAGAGAGGCAGGAGGAGAAGGAGCUCUGCGCGGCAGCGCGGCCAACUUUCCUUCUGCAGCGCAGCAGGAACAGCCUCCCGUCCCUCGGUGUGUAACCCCCGCCCCGGCGCAAUGCCGAGCGCACUGGGCUGCAUCCCACGGCAUCGAGGGGUGUUCCCCGCUCUCCUAACAAUCCUGCGCGACAGGGGUAAGCCAUGCUCAUCCCUCAUCCACUCCUCUUUCCAUCCCCAGCAGGCCUGCUAGCCAAGUCAUUUGCCUAAAAGCUUCUCUGUCACCACUUCUUUCUAGAUGCUUCAACAUCCGCGGCUCAAAACGCUGCUGGGAAAUCACAUGCUCCGUUUAGAUCACUGCUUCCCUUUGCCUCCACAGGGACAGAGACACCAGGAUGGAAAGCCCUGGCGCAUUUUUGGUGCCUCCACCUUUCAGGGAUACAGCUUCUGCUUCUCACUGCUUAUUUAUCAUUUGUUAUUCAUAGUCCUCAAAGCAGGCAUGCCAAAUCUUUGCCGAAGGAGAAUGUUCAAGAUUCAAAACACAAGUUAACUCACUUGGUCCCAUCUUAGGGUUUUUCUCCAGCCCUGCUUUCUCCUCUUCAACAAAAUUUUAUUGGUGUUCCAAACUCACUUUUUGUUUAGCAUAUCCUAGUGGUAUUCACAGAAGAUUUUUCUCUCCUUCUAAAUAUCUGAUUCCUUGUUCAUUCCUGAGUUGAUCUGGAGUUCAGGGGGGUUUUGUAUCUCAGAGAAAACAGUUUCUUCCUUAGUCUAGUAGGCACUGGGAGACAAUUCAUACAUAAUCAGCAGAAAGAAAUAGCCCCAAAUUAUGAUCACCCUGAUUCUCCAGAGUGUUUUUCACCUAUUCAUUUCUUGUGAAUAGAAGUCUCUAAAUCACCAUCAUUAUGUCUUUAUCAAGUAACACGUUUAGGCCUUUCCAUCCUAUUUGUACAGGGACACAACUUUAAGGGGGGUUGGCUUGCAGCCAAAGGUAUUUCAGCUCCUACAGUGCAAAUUCAUCAGUCAUCACUGCUACUGAUUGGAGGUACCAACUGCUUUGGAUGGAUGGUGAAUUCCUGCUGAAAUUCAUUUUUCAGUGACCAAAUGUAUUUGUGAAAUAGGGGGAAAUCCAAAAAGAUUUGUUGGGAAUAUUUAAAAAAAAAAAAAAUUCAUUUAUGCAGAAUGGACUGGGGAAGGGAUUUCCAGAUCACCAAAUCAAAUUUUCUUGCUUCCAGGCAGUUUGUUUCCUUCUGGCCAAAACCCCAAAAUAUGGGGUUUUUUCCAUAAUGUUAUCAAAGUGAGAUUCAGUGACAUCAGGGAAGUAAUAAUUUCCUCUAACGCUGUUCCUUUGCAUUUGCCAUUCUCCCUGAAUCAAACUAGGCACAUUCUUCUUUCAGUCUGGGAACACCAUGGCACUUUGUGUCCAUGAGGAAAUCUGGUCUCAUUUGGUUUACUUGAAUUUUUCAGCAGAACCAAGAAAAUCUAAGUAAAGGAGCAAUCACAAUCCAACAAUGACAGGGGUUGAAAACAUUGCUACAGACCAGAGCAUACUUCUCCCUUUCUUUUAGUUAGCCCUCUUCUCUUGCCCAAAACCAUCAAAGAAUUUACCAAUACACUAAUUAACUCAUAAUUACCUAGUUUUAAUUAUGGCACUACAUUUGCCAUAAAUUGUCCUGUUCCUUUUGCUGGAAAGCUGAUGACUGUGCCUGAUUUGAUUUUGAUAUUUGCAGCCCACUGGUACCCUGCUGAUUUUUGGAGAAAGCUCUUCAAAUAGCAACAGAAAGUGGCUUGUGGUGGGGCAGGUGAACUGCAGCAGGGUCGUUUGUGAUUUUGGUGGCUUCUCUUCAAGUGCAGCAGCAUCACUGAUAGUACUCCUCAAUACCAGGUUGUGCAGUGCAUCCUCAAUGCAUUGUGCUAGCACAUUUCACAACUUCUCAUGGCAAGAACUUUGGGGGUUCAUGUGUCUAGCAGUGGUAAUUAACUCUUUAUUUUUGUUUCUAAAGGUGCUUUCCUCCACAACUGAUGGAGAUGCAGGAAAGCUGCUGUGCAGACAGAAGCACAAAGAGGAACAAAAAGAAAUAUUUGAAAAGAGCAAAGGUGGGGAGGAAGAAAGUUCACCUCCCUGAGUCUGAUGGAUGUUGGAGCAGGGCAGCCCAUGAUGGCUUGUGAGCCUCCAUGGUCCUUCAGUUUCUGCCUGUGAGGAGCUAGGGAUUUGGGAGCCAUCAAGGCAGGAUGUCAAAAAGCAAAUGCCACCUGGAAGCAGAAAUGAGCAGAGAUGUACAAACAGCUUUUCUUACAGAAUGGAGGUUUGUAGGAGGCAGAGAAGGGAGGAGACUUUGCAGGCAUAUAUCACUGUAGCUUCAGGGAAAUCAGAAUGACCACGAGUCACGCUGAGCAGGGCUGUUACAGGAUGAGUGCUGACCCAACAAUUGGCCACUGCCUGCAGUGGCAGCACCCUAAGGAACAGCACACAGUCCUGAUCUUUGGUGCCCUGGGUGCUCUGCACCACAGCCUGGGAGAGUCCUUGGAGACAGAGCUGCUCUGAAAGCCCCAGGCCAAACUAGGUGGAACCAGCCCAGAGUGAGAGCAGGAGACAGCCCUGGUCUGGGAGCCACACACCCAGUGCUGCAGGAACAGCUCUGUGGAGGCCAGCAUUCCAGGAUUUCAGAGAACCAUUAACUGCUGCACCCACUGAUGUGCCAAAAUGGGACAGUCAUGUUUCACUGUGAUCCUCAGCUGCCCAAAGCCAGAAUCUGGGAUGACAGGAUGCAUGCUCGGGACACCAGGAGUGAGAAAGAGGAAAGGCAGAGCCUUGCAAGUGUGUUGGUGGUCUGUAGGAAGAGCAGCAGCACCACCUAUCACCGGAGAGGGAAGGAGAGAGGACACACCAGGUGCUGCUCCUCCUGCCUGUCCUCAGUACAAGACUGGAGCCCAGAUUUUUAGGAUCACCACAGAGAAACUUCCUUUUUCUAGCAGAGGAACCCGGCUUAAAUCUUUCACUGCACUCCUGCUAAAUCUUCCUGUGGGGCACAGCUAACAGAAGGAGAUGGAGGGGAUGGAAAGGUGAAGGCUUUGGAGAAGGGCUGAGAGCUGGAAUUUACAGAAUAAAAAUAAUGACCUUUAGGUCUACA
rnacentral:lncRNA from 1 species